rnacentral:piRNA from 1 species
UAAUUUUUGAGGAUGGGCUAUUGAGG